UCGCGCGGAUUUAAGCGAAUAAGAAACGUAUAGCUUCAACCAAUCAGAAAACUGAUAGGCGAUUCGGUGCGCAUGCCCAUGACAUGACGUCAGUUUGUUCUUGAAAAUUGUGGUAGCAGGUUGCAUUUCAUCGGUAGUGAUUAAUUUGAUUCUUACUUGUGUAAAUUAUUGUUUGAUGAGUUUAAAAGUGUGACCAUAAUAAUGAGAAGCUUUUCGAGAAAUUAAUAGUUUGCGUUCAUGUCGUACUCGAUAGAUUCCGAUUUAUCGAAUUGUCGAACAAAUCGUUUCCUCAAUUUAAUUCGAUAUAUUGAAAUCGCUACGCAUUCGAGAUAUCAUUUUGUUCUCGAAAGUUGUGACGCUUAGACUCUUCGUUUCAGAUUAACAUCUAACUGGUAAAAUGAUUUUCAAGGCGGGAAAAAGGGAUCAAAUAUGGACGCCACAACGAACAUUCCAACGAUGUUCAAUUUGAUAACUUUUCAUAAUGGAGUGGUAAGGUUUGAUUUAUUAUAUUAGAAACAAAUACGAUUAUUAUUUAUGCUUGUUAAGUAAUUCAUAAUAUAUUAAUUAGGAUAAUAUAUAUUAUUAAGGA